CACGUAGGGCGCGAGCGUUGUCCGGAAUUAUUGGGCGUAAAGAGCUCGUAGCGGCCUGUUGCGUCCGCUGUGAAAGCCCGGGGCUUAACCCCGGGUCGGCAGUGGAUACGGGCAGGCUAGAGGUAGGUAGGGGAGAAUGGAAUUCCUGGUGUAGCGGUGAAAUGCGCAGAUAUCAGGAGGAACACCGAGUGGCGAAGGCGGGUCGCGUGGGCCGAUAUUGACGCUGAGGAGCGAAAGCGUGGGGAGCGAACAGGG
rnacentral:rRNA from 1 species